rnacentral:rRNA from 1 species
UACGUAGGGUGCAAGCGUUGUCCGGAAUUAUUGGGCGUAAAGAGCUCGUAGGCGGUUUGUUGCGUCGGCUGUGAAAUCCCGAGGCUCAACCUCGGGUCUGCAGUCGAUACGAGCAAACUAGAGUGUUGCAGGGGAGACUGGAAUUCCUGGUGUAGCGGUGAAAUGCGCAGAUAUCAGGAGGAACACCGGUGGCGAAGGCGGGUCUCUGGGCAACAACUGACGCUGAGACGCGAAAGCGUGGGGAGCAAACAGG